UUUACAUUAUGUAUCGUGUUUGAUUACUCUUACUUAACUUUUCUCGAGUUUAUUUAUUUUUUUUUUUUUCGACUUGUUUGCUGGAAAGUGUUUUGAACAAAUAAUCAUUUGUUGAUAGGAAUAAACGUCAUUAAGGCUUCCUUUGAACUCGAUCACCUAAUCCUGUUUACUGUUGGGAUUGUAUAACGUUGAAACGCUUAGGCUACUCUUAAUUAUCAGUCGACUAAAGACAAAUAUUUUGGCACGCGUGUAAGCGAUGCCAAUUACUUUAUUGGCCGUUAGAAAGUUCCACAUUAAAUAAAACUA